rnacentral:autocatalytically_spliced_intron from 1 species
UCGAUCUGUAUGCGGGGAGACUCGCACGCGUACAGUUCUUCGAGGGGUCGCGCUUCCGAGAGGGGGUGCGGCUACCCUCUCUCC